UGGGGGAUGUGGGAGGAUAUGGGUCUGUAAUGUGCUGUGUGGGGAUCUCGAGGGAUGAGGGGAUAUCGGUGUGUUUUGGGAAUAGAGGGGGAUGGAGGGAUGUGGGGCCACAGGGGGUGCUAUAGAGGGAUGUAGGGCUGUGAGUGGGUUGUAGGAGGAGAUGGGGCUGUAGGGGGCUGUGUUGGGAAUACAGGGAGGGUGUGAGGGGCCAUGGGGAGGCCAGAGGGAGAAAUGGGACUGUAUGGGAUAUAGGGUAGGGCUUUGGGGCGACAGGGGGCUGUAGUGGGUUAUAGGGGUGGAUAUUGGGGGAUAUGGUGCUGUAGUGGUCUGUGGGGGUUAUCGGGAGGGAUGUGGGGCUAUUGGGGGCUUUAGUGGGGGCCGUAGAGGGAUAUAGGGCUGUGCGGAGGUUGCUGGAAAAUAUGAAACUAUGGUGGCUGUAUGGGUGUGUGGGGCUUUAUGGAGCUUAAUUGUGUCUCUAGGGGGGCUAUGGGGCUCUGGAAAGCUGUGGUGGACUGUAGUAGGGGUAUUGGGGUAUAUGUGGAAAGAGGGGGCUAUGGUUGGGAUCUAGGGAUCUGUGGGAGCUAUUGGGGGAUAUGGGGCUCUAAAGUGCUGUGACGUCUUUAGGGUGAUUUUUAGGGCUAUAUGGGAGAUGUAGGGAGAUUUGUUUCUCUAGGGGUCUGUUGUGGUAUAGGGGUGAUAUGGGUGUGUAGGGGGCUUUGGGAGGAGCUCCAUGGUUCUAUGAGGGGUCUGUAAGGGCUAUAGGUGUGUUCGAGGGGGAUAUGUGGCUCUGGGGGUUUGUGGCAACAUGUGGGAGCGUUGAGGGUGCUAGGGAUUGGGGGGGGCUCUAGGGAAAGAUGUUGUGCUGUAGGAGAUUGUGGGGGCCUGUAGGAGGAUAUAGGGUGUCUGUGGGGGCUGUUGGGGAUAUAGAGGAGAUAUGGAGUCUAGAAGGGUUCUGGGGGAUAUGAG
ensembl:lncRNA